CUGCUGCCUCCCGUAGGAGUCUGGUCCGUGUCUCAGUACCAGUGUGGGGGACCUUCCUCUCAGAACCCCUAUCCAUCGUGGACUUGGUGAGCCGUUACCUCACCAACUAUCUAAUGGAACGCAUGCCCAUCUAUCAGCGAUAAUUCUUUAACAAAUAUUUCCAUGUGGAACCCCUGUUUUAUGCGGUAUUAGUCCGACUUUCGCCGGGUUAUUCCCCUCUGAUAGGUAGGUUGCAUACGCGUUACUCACCCGUGCGCCGGUCCG
rnacentral:rRNA from 1 species